UACGUAGGGUACAAGCGUUAAUCGGAAUUACUGGGCGUAAAGCGUGCGCAGGCGGUUUUGUAAGUCUGUCGUGAAAUCCCCGGGCUCAACCUGGGAAUGGCGAUGGAGACUGCAAGGCUAGAAUCUGGCAGAGGGGGGUAGAAUUCCACGUGUAGCAGUGAAAUGCGUAGAGAUGUGGAGGAACACCGAUGGCGAAGGCAGCCCCCUGGGUCAAGAUUGACGCUCAUGCACGAAAGCGUGGGGAGCAAACAGG
rnacentral:rRNA from 1 species